AUGGGUACAGCUACCUUCGUCGACAUCCUUCUUGCCAUCGUUCUCCCACCUCUUGGUGUCUUCUCAAGGUUUGGCUUAGAAGAGGAGUUCUGGAUCUUGACUCAUCGUCAUCUUCUACGUAACCAUUCAGUUUACCUUUUGUGGUGCAUCAUGGAUAAUUUUCAGGGGCGUCAUUCAUGUCUUUCAAUUCAGAAUCUAGUUUCUUGUAAAAUUGUUCAGUGA